GCAGCCAAGCAGAUGGGGCUGUACCUGUGAGAGUGUGUCACCCGUGGGUGGAGUGUGCAGUGAUCAGAUGUUGAGUUUGGAAGCUCUUUUCCUCUUGGUAUUGAAUAGCGUCCCACUGUCUGGAUGCACCCCGCUGACCCACCCACUCACCGACUGCAGGGCGUCCCGGUUGCUGCCAGGUGAAAUAGGGGCGGGGACAAUCCAGGGACAUCUUUCCCAGCAUGCACGAACCAGAAAUAACACCAGCGUGUCUGAGAAGAAACGGUGAAGAAAUCCACCCUGGCUGUCUGUCGGGCAGCCCCGGCGAGGAGUUGAGUCCCCUUACCGCUGCGAAUGAGCUGUCCUCCACCCCAUGUCGGAGACCUCAGCGCCCGGGGCCCCGGCCUGUUACCUGCAUGCCUUUGACAGCAACCCCUGGCAUAUGCCUGGGCCUCACAGCUAUUGGCGGAGCGCCUACUCUGUUCCAGGCACAGGGCACGGCAGCAACCUGGACCCCCAAGGGUGGCUCCUCCUCCAUCCCGGCUUCCUGCUGGAACAUGAGCAGGCAAUUCACACAAGAAGCCUGUAAUCCCAGCACUUUGAGAGGUGGAAGUGGGAGGAUGGCUUGAGUCUUGGGAGUUCAAGGCUACAGUGAGCUGUGAUUGCACCACUGCACUCCCUCCUGGGUGACGGAGCGAGACCCUGUCUCAAAAAAAAACAAAAAAAAAGAAAGAAAGAAAAAGAAAAAAAACCCAGAAUAUUAAAAUGAAUAUGUAAAUGCAGG
rnacentral:lncRNA from 1 species